rnacentral:rRNA from 1 species
UACGUAGGGUCCGAGCGUUGUCCGGAAUUAUUGGGCGUAAAGGGCUCGUAGGCGGUUUGUCACGUCGGGAGUGAAAACUCAGGGCUCAACCCUGAGCGUGCUUCCGAUACGGGCAGACUAGAGGUAUGCAGGGGAGGACGGAAUUCCUGGUGUAGCGGUGGAAUGCGCAGAUAUCAGGAGGAACACCGGUGGCGAAGGCGGGUCUCUGGGCCGAUACUGACGCUGAGGAGCGAAAGCGUGGGGAGCGAACAGG